rnacentral:rRNA from 1 species
GCACAAGCAGUGGAGUAUGUGGUUUAAUUCGAAGCAACGCGAAAAAACCUUACCAGGUCUUGACAUCGAGUGAAGUAUUAAGAGAUUAAUACGUCUUUCGGGACACGAAGACAGGUGGUGCAUGGUUGUCGUCAGCUCGUGUCGUGAGAUGUUGGGUUAAGUCCCGCAACGAGCGCAAUCCUUAUCAUUAGUUGCUACGCAAGAGCACUCUAAUGAGACUGCCGUUGACAAAACGGAGGAAGGUGGGGAGUGACGUCAAAUCAUCAUGCCCCUUAUGACCUGGGCUACACACGUACUACAAUGGCAAUUAACAGAGGGAAGCAAAUCAGCGAUGGUAAGCAAAUCUCAAAAAAAUUGUCUCAGUUCGGAUUGCAGGCUGCAACUCGCCUGCAUGAAGUCGGAAUUGCUAGUAAUCGCGAAUCAGCAUGUCGCGGUGAAUACGUUCCCGGG